rnacentral:rRNA from 1 species
AUUGAACGCUGGCGGAAUGCUUUACACAUGCAAGUCGAACGGUAGAGGGGGCAACCCCUUGAGAGUGGCGAACGGGUGAGUAAUGUAUCGGAACGUGCCCAGUCGUGGGGAUAACGUAGCGAAAGUUACGCUAAUACCGCAUACGAUCUACGGAUGAAAGCGGGGGACUCGCAAGAGCCUCGCGCGAUUGGAGCGGCCGAUAUCAGAUUAGGUAGUUGGUGGGGUAAAGGCUCACCAAGCCAACGAUCUGUAGCUGGUCUGAGAGGACGACCAGCCACACUGGAACUGAGACACGGUCCAGACUCCUACGGGAGGCAGCAGUGGGAAUUUUGGACAAUGGACGCAAGUCUGAUCCAGCCAUUCCGCGUGCAGGAUGAAGGCCCUCGGGUUGUAAACUGCUUUUGUACGGAACGAAAAGGUUUCUAUUAAUACUAGGAGCUCAUGACGGUACCGUAAGAAUAAGCACCGGCUAACUACGUGCCAGCAGCCGCGGU